rnacentral:rRNA from 1 species
AGGGGAUUGCCCUAGUAACGGCGAGUGAAGCGGCAACAGCUCAAAUUUGAAAUCUGGCUCUUUUAGGGUCCGAGUUGUAAUUUGCAGAGGGCGCUUUGGCGUUGGCAGCGGUCCAAGUUCCUUGGAACAGGACGUCACAGAGGGUGAGAAUCCCGUACGUGGUCGCUGGUCUUCGCCGUGUAAAGCCCCUUCGACGAGUCGAGUUGUUUGGGAAUGCAGCUCUAAAUGGGAGGUAAAUUUCUUCUAAAGCUAAAUACUGGCCAGAGACCGAUAGCGCACAAGUAGAGUGAUCGAAAGAUGAAAAGCACUUUGGAAAGAGAGUCAAAUAGCACGUGAAAUUGUUGAAAGGGAAGCGCUUGCAGCCAGACUUGCCUGUAGUUGCUCAUCCGGGCUUUUGCCCGGUGCACUCUUCUAUAGGCAGGCCAGCAUCAGUUUGGGCGGUUGGAUAAAGGUCUCUAUCACGUACCUCUCUUCGGGGAGGCCUUAUAGGGGAGACGACAUGCAACCAGCCUGGACUGAGGUCCGCGCAUUUGCUAGGAUGCUGGCGUAAUGGCUGUAAGCGGCCCGUCUUGAAACACGGACCAAGGAGUCUAACAUCUAUGCGAGUGUUUGGGUGUCAAGCCCGAACGCGUAAUGAAAGUGAACGGAGGUGGGAACCCUUUAGGGCGCACCAUCGACCGAUCCUGAUGUCUUCGGAAGGAUUUGAGUAAGAGCAUGGCUGUUGGGACCCGAAAGAUGGUGAACUAUGCUUGAAUAGGGUGAAGCCAGAGGAAACUCUGGUGGAGGCUCGCAGCGGUUCUGACGUGCAAAUCGAUCGUCAAAUUUGGGCAUAGGGGCGAAAGACUAAUCGAACUAUCUAGUAGCUGGUUCCUGCC